AGAGUUUGAUCCUGGCUCAGAAUCAACGCUGGCGGCGUGCCUAACACAUGCAAGUCGAACGAGAAAGUGGAGCAAUCCAUGAGUAAAGUGGCGACCGGGUGAGUAACACGUGACUAACCUGCCCUUGAGUGGGGGAUAACCUCGGGAAACCGGGGCUAAUACCGCAUAACAUCGCAAGAUCAAAGGAGCAAUCCGCUGAAGGAGGGGGUCGCGGCUGAUUAGCUAGUUGGUGAGGUAACGGCUCACCAAGGCGAAGAUCAGUAGCCGGCCUGAGAGGGCGCACGGCCACACUGGAACUGAAACACGGUCCAGACUCCUACGGGAGGCAGCAGUGGGGAAUUUUGCGCAAUGGGGGAAACCCUGACGCAGCAACGCCGCGUGGAGGAUGAAGUCCCUUGGGAUGUAAACUCCUUUCGAUCGGGACGAUUAUGACGGUACCGGAAGAAGAAGCACCGGCUAACUCUGUGCCAGCAGCCGCGGUAAUACAGAGGGUGCAAGCGUUGUUCGGAAUUAUUGGGCGUAAAGGGCGCGUAGGCGGUGCGGUAAGACUGUGGUGAAAUCUCCGGGCUCAACUCGGAAAUUGCCGCGGUGACUGCCGUGCUCGAGUGUGGGAGAGGUGAGUGGAAUUCCCGGUGUAGCGGUGAAAUGCGUAGAUAUCGGGAGGAACACCUGUGGCGAAAGCGGCUCACUGGACCACAACUGACGCUGAGGCGCGAAAGCUAGGGGAGCAAACAGGAUUAGAUACCCUGGUAGUCCUAGCCCUAAACGAUGAUUGCUUGGUGUGUCGGGUACCCAAUCCCGACGUGCCGCAGCUAACGCGAUAAGCAAUCCGCCUGGGGAGUACGUCGCAAGACUGAAACUCAAAGGAAUUGACGGGGCCCGCACAGCGGUGGAGCAUGUGGUUCAAUUCGACGCACGCGAAGAAACAUUACCUGGGCUCGAAAUG
rnacentral:rRNA from 1 species